UGGAAGGUUCGUUGAAUGGGCAUAUGCAUCGUGGACAGUAGGGGGAGUGCAAGUGCUUCUCAAAUGUAAUAUUUCAUGCCUUCUCCACACUCGUCCUCACAAGAACAUACUCAAGAGAACGUCCUCGGGGGAAUGCACUUGAAGCACGAAAUGGGAGACGGACAAGGAGACUGAUAUUGUGAUUAUCAAAGGAGCCGGUGGGAAAGCCUUCUGUGCUGGUGGAGACAUCAGAGCUGUGACUGAAGCAGGGAAGGUAGGAGACUUCUGAAGAAUACAUCCUGAACAAUACUAUUGGAUGUGGGCCACUGAGAAGACUGUUCGCCAUGCCAGAGACGGCAAUCGACCCUAGCCAAGAUGUCUCCCACAUCGCUGAAGAUAACCUUCAAGCAGCUUCAGGAGGGAAGCGCCAAGAGUUUGUAGGAGGUCCUGGUGAUGGAGUGCAGACUCAAUCAAGCCUGCAUGGUGGUACGUGCCAAAAGUCCCCAGGCCCUUAAUACUACCUCCUCUUUUCAUAGGUGUCCAAGUUGCCUAAAUUAGUUUCCGUCCCUCGUAUCCUUUCUUUCAUGUCAACUCAAUAUAAUCCAUGUUCUCCUUGAGUUUUAUGGUUGAAAUAAGCCAUCAUAUUCACCUAUUAGUGGUCAUACAGUUGGAAAGGAGACAGGGAAAGGACCAUCAGACAUGGCAUGCCAGUCACUCAGUGGCCUCUCACAACAGCAGGACUUUGGUAAGACCACACCCCAGUGCCGUGCCCAUUUCUGUGGGGGCAGAGAGACUAUGACCUCACCAGCGCAUUAUUGUCGUUCUUGCUGCUGGUGAGUCUCUGAUCCACCUCUACGCAGACGACACCAUUCUGUAUACUUCUGGCCCUUCUUUGGACACUGUGUUAACAACCUUCCAAGCGAGCUUCAAUGCCAUACAACUCUCCUUCCGUGGCCUCCAAUUGCUCUUAAAUACAAGUAAAACUAAAUGCAUGCUCUUCAACCGAUCGCUGCCUGCACCUGCCCGCCUGUCCAACAUCACUACUCUGGACGGCUCUGACUUAGAAUAUGUGGACAACUACAAAUACCUAGGUGUCUGGUUAGACUGUAAACUCUCCUUCCAGACUCACAUCAAACAUCUCCAAUCCAAAGUUAAAUCCGAAUUGGCUUCCUAUUCCGCAACAAAGCAUCCUUCACUCAUGCUGCCAAACAUACCCUUGUAAAACUGACCAUCCUACCAAUCCUCGACUUCGGUGAUGUCAUUUACAAAAUAGCCUCCAAUACCCUACUCAAUAAAUUGGAUGCAGUCUAUCACAGUGCCAUCCGUUUUGUCACCAAAGCCCCAUAUACUACCCACCACUGCGACCUAUACGCUCUCGUUGGCUAGCCCUCGCUUCAUACUCGUCGCCAAACCCACUGGCUCCAGGUCAUCUACAAGACCCUGCUAGGUAAAGUCCCCCCUUAUCUCAGCUCGCUGGUGACCAUAGCAGCACCCACCUGUAGCACGCGCUCCAGCAGGUAUCACUGGUCACCCCCAAAACCAAUUCUUCCUCUCCAUCCAGUUCUCUGCUGCCAAUGACUGGAACAAACUACAAAAAUCUCUGAAACUGGAAACACUUAUCUCCCUCACUAGCUUUAAGCACCAGCUGUCAGAGCAGCUCACAGAUUACUGCACCUGUACAUAGCCCAUCUAUAAUUUAGCCCAAACAACUACCUCUUUACCUACUGUAUUUAUUAAUUUUGCUCCUUUGCACCCCAUUAUUUCUAUCUCUACUUUGCACAUUCUUCCACUGCAAACCAACCAUUCCAGUGUUUUUACUUGCUAUAUUGUAUUUACUUCGCCACCAUGGCCUUUUUUUUUGCCUUCACCUCCCUUCUCACCUUAUUUGCUCACAUUGUAUAUAGACCUAUUUUUCUACUGUAUUAUUAACUGUAUGUUUGUUUUACUCCAUGUGUAACUCUGUGUUGCUCUAUGUGUCGAACUGCUUUGCUUUAUCUUGGCCAGGUCGCAGUUGUAAAUGAGAACUUGUUCUCAACUUGCCUACCUGGUUAAAUAAAGGUGAAAUAAAAGAUGUAUAACA